AGAAUUGCCCAGGAGCUUACAGAAAACGAAAUUCUGAUGUUUCAGAAGUACGCCAGGAGCCUGUAGUAGCGUCACUAGCAACCAGUGGAUCUAACAAAGAGGGAUCGGUGUGGUCUCUGUCUGGGCUUCUCAAUGCUCUUCACCGAUUACAACAAAACCGAUUCUCCUAUACUGACGACGAAGAUAUUUAGGAAAUACUCCAUUCUGCAUUAUUCUUAAGAUGGAAGUUUCCUGAGUGAAAAAUUGUUCGACUUAAUAUCACUAAAACUAUAUUUUUUGUGAAAUCUACCUGAUGUUGUGACAAUAUGUUAUUUCGCGAAAUUUUAAUACAGAGAACUCUGCAUUCAAGUGUUGCAUGUACAUUUCAAAUAACUUCUAUUUAAAGGUAAAAUAAAAACAUUUGUUACCAAUUGCAAAGAAAUAAUAAA